CCUCGAAUACGACGACAGGAGAAACCAGCAGCUGCGGUGCAAAAAUAUGCCACCGCAUGCCGUUCGCCACCCCAGCCAAGUUCUAGGAUGAUUGCCAGAUGUUGGGGAUGGACCAGAAAGUGGAGAUUCCCAUCAUGCCCUGCUUCUGAACCCCUUCUCCCCUUCCAGAAACAAGUGGGUGCGCAUUGCUGGAACACGCAGGAGGGGAUGGAGGUCUUUUUGAAGCAACAAAACAAGACAAGGCCGUGUCAGGCAGGCGGAUGAGCGUCAUUUUGUUCUAUUCCUGUCAUUGAAAUCCAGCAUUAAAAUGCAAUUCAAG